rnacentral:rRNA from 1 species
AACGUAGGUGGCGAGCGUUAUCCGGAUUUACUGGGCGUAAAGGGCGCGUAGGCGGUCGUGACAAGUCACUUGUGAAAUCUCCGGGCUUAACUCGGAACGGUCAAGUGAUACUGUCGGACUAGAGUACAGAAGGGGCAACUGGAAUUCUCGGUGUAGCGGUGAAAUGCGUAGAGAUCAGGAAGAACAUCGGUGGCGAAGGCGCUCUGCGUGGACCAUAACUGACACUCGAGGGACGAAAGCUAGGGGAGCGAAUGGG